UUUUACAAAACAUGUCCUUUUGAGUUUAUUAAUAUGAGGUCUGACCUGCCCUAUGAUUUAUAUGAAUUAAAUGGCCGCAGUAUUCUAACUGUGCGAAGGUAGCAUAAUCAUUUGUCCUUUAAUUGGGGACUUGUAUGAAUGGUCUGAUGAGGGAUAAACUUUCUUUAUUUUAUUUUUAAUAAUUUAAUUUAUAAGUCAAAAAGCUUAUAUAUUAUUAAGUGACGAGAAGACCCUAUAGAACUUUACUAUUUAUAAUGAUACUGUUAUUUUGUUUAUUAAUUGAUAGUAUUUUUAUUAGUAGUUUUAUUGGGGCGAUAGUUAAAUUUAAUUAACUUAAACUUGAUUAAAUUUCAUUAAUUAAUGAUUAAUUAUUGAUCCAUUUUUAUUGAUUAAAAGAUCAAGUUACCUUAGGGAUAACAGCGUAAUUUCAUUGGAGAGUUCAUAUUAAUAAUGGAGUUUGCGACCUCGAUGUUGGAUUAAAAUAAGUAUUAGGUGCAGAAGCUUAAUAACUAAGUCUGUUCGACUUUUAAUUUUUUACAUGACGGGUUUUUAA
rnacentral:rRNA from 1 species